GUGGGGAAUCUUGCGCAAUGGGCGAAAGCCUGACGCAGCCAUGCCGCGUGCAGGAAGACGGCCCUCUGGGUUGUAAACUGCUUUUAUCUGGGAAGAAAAAGGCCAUGCGUGGCAAAUUGCCGGUACCAGAUGAAUAAGCACCGGCUAACUCCGUGCCAGCAGCCGCGGUAAUACGGAGGGUGCGAGCGUUGUCCGGAUUUAUUGGGUUUAAAGGGUGCGUAGGCGGCUGAGUAAGUCAGCGGUGAAAGACUUCGGCUUAACCGGAGCAGUGCCGUUGAUACUGGUUGGCUUGAGUGUCGGAGGGGUACAUGGAAUUGAUGGUGUAGCGGUGAAAUGCAUAGAUACCAUCAGGAACACCGAUAGCGAAGGCAUUGUACUGGCCGACAACUGACGCUGAUGCACGAAAGUGUGGGGAUCGAACAGGAUUAGAAACCCCGGUAGUCC
rnacentral:rRNA from 1 species